AGCUCUGUAGUGAAGUUCAUAUUAGAUUGCAAAUCUAAAGACGCAGAUUAAUGUCUGCCGGGGCUU
rnacentral:tRNA from 1 species